rnacentral:tRNA from 1 species
GGAAGCGUGGCCGAGUGGUUUAAGGCGCUGGUCUUGAAAACCUGUGAUGGUCCCCCAUCCGUGAGUUCGAAUCUCACCGCUUCCGCCA